rnacentral:rRNA from 1 species
AAUGAACGUUGGCGGCGUGGAUUAGGCAUGCAAGUCGAGCGAGAACCGGUUUCGGCCGGGGACAGCGGCGAACGGCGUAGUAAUGCAUCGGAACGUACCCUCUGGUCGGGGAUAGCUACGGGAAACUGUAGGUAAUACCCGAUGUUCUCUGCGGAGCAAAGGUGAGAUUCCGCCGGAGGAGCGGCUGAUGUGAUAUUAGCUAGUUGGUGGGGUAAUGGCCUACCAAGGCGAUGAUGUCUAGGGGGUGUGAGAGCAUGGCCCCCACGACCGGAACUGAGAUACUGUCCGGACACCUACGGGUGGCUGCAGUCGAGAAUCUUCCGCAAUGGACGAAAGUCUGACGGAGCGACGCCGCGUGCGGGAUGAAGGCCCUUGGGUUGUAAACCGCUGUCAGAGGGGAUGAAAUCUUCGGAGGUACUCCUCCGAAGUUGACAGAGCCUCAAAGGAAGCACGGGCUAAGUACGUGCCAGCAGCCGCCGCAGUAA